UACGAAGGGGGCGAGCGUUGUUCGGAUUUACUGGGCGUAAAGGGCGCGCAGGCGGCGCAUUUUGUCAGGCGUGAAAGCCCCGGGCUUAACCUGGGACUGCGUUUGAUACGGAUGGGCUAGAGUUCGGGAGAGGAGAGUGGAAUUCCCAGUGUAGAGGUGAAAUUCGUAGAUAUUGGGAAGAACACCGGUGGCGAAGGCGGCUCUCUGGACCGAGACUGACGCUGAGGCGCGAAAGCGUGGGGAGCGAACAGGA
rnacentral:rRNA from 1 species